rnacentral:rRNA from 1 species
AACGAACGCUGGCGGCAUGCCUAACACAUGCAAGUCGAACGAGACCUUCGGGUCUAGUGGCGCACGGGUGCGUAACGCGUGGGAACCUGCCCUUAGGUUCGGCAUAACUCCCCGAAAGGGGUGCUAAUACCGGAUAAUGUCUUCGGACCAAAGAUUUAUCGCCUUUGGAUGGGCCCGCGUUGGAUUAGCUAGUUGGUAGGGUAAAAGCCUACCAAGGCGACGAUCCAUAGCUGGUCUGAGAGGAUGAUCAGCCACACUGGGACUGAGACACGGCCCAGACUCCUACGGGAGGCAGCAGUGGGGAAUAUUGGACAAGGGGCGAAAGCCUGAGCCAGCAAUGCCACGUGAGUGAUGAAGGCCUUAGGGUUGUAAAGCUCUUUUACCCGGGAUGAUAAUGACAGUACCGGGAGAAUAAGCUCCGGCUAACUCCGUG